UGUUGGACGCAACAUGGGAGUGACUGAAUAAACUUACUGGCAACCGCUGGUUAAGGUGAUGAGACACAGGUGGUGCUGCUACCGCAGGGUAGAACCGACCUACCAGUCGGGUCUCAGGCAAGACGUUUUUACACUGUAGUAUAUGCUCGUUCUUUGUUGGUAUACAGGAAUCCAACCUCCCUCUUU
rnacentral:ncRNA from 1 species